AAAUCUGCUCAAUGAAUAAUUCAAUAGCCGCAAUUUGUGCUAAGGUAGCAUAAUCAUUUGUCUUUUAAAUGAAGACUAGAACAAAAGAUUUAACAUCUCAAAUAAUAUCUUAUUUAAACAUUUAAAUUUAUUUUAAAAGUAAAAAAACUUUUAUAAUAUAAAAAGACGAUAAGACCCUAUUGAACUUAACUUUAGUUAAACUGGGGCAGUUAAUUAAUUAUUAUUUUAAUAUGAUUAUUUAUAUAAAAAGUCUUACAAUUGAUAAAUCAGUUACCAUAGGGAUAACAGCGUAAUUUUAUUUUAAAGACCUUAUAAAAAAUAAAGAUUGCGACCUCGAUGUUGAAUUAGUAACCUAAUUAAAGCAAAAUUUAAAAUAGGAAGUCUGUUCGACUUUUAAAUAACUACAUGAUUUGAGUUCAGACCGGUAUAAGCCAGGUCGGCUUCCAUCUUUUAUAAAUAUUUCUGUAGUACGAAAGGACCUAGAAAUCCAAUUUUAUUUAUUAUAUUGGCAGAUCAAUGCAUUAGAAUUAGAAUCUAAUUACCUAAAAAUUUUUUAAUUAAUUAUAUUUUAAUUGUAAUCAGAAUUCUUAUUAGAGUAGCCUUCUAUACAAUUAUAGAACGAAAAAUCUUAGGUUAUAUACAAAUUCGAAAAGGUCCUAAUAAAGUAGGAUUUAUAGGAAUUUUACAACCUUUUAGAGAUGCAUUAAAACUCUUUAAUAAAAAUUUAUUAUCACCUGAAAAUAAUAAUAUUAUUUUAUCUUUUUCAACUCCUGCUCUAUCACUCUUUAUUAGAAUUCUUCUAAUUCCAAUUAUUUGUUUUAAUUCAUAUUCAUUAUUUGAUAAUAAACAUAGAGUUCUUUUAUUUUUUAUUUUAUCAAGAAUAGCUGUUUACUUCAUUCUACUAAUUGGUUGAUCAGCAAAUUCUAAAUACAGACAUAU
rnacentral:rRNA from 1 species